rnacentral:lncRNA from 1 species
UUUCGUUUUGGUUUUUGAUUUUAAUUUUUUUUUAUGUUUGCUUUUUGUUUUUCUUUUGGUUUUGUUGGUUUCAUAUUGUAGGUUCAUCCGCUUGAGAAGAUAUUGAAAUUGUGUACCCAAUCACACAUUUAUCCUUUUCAUUCAUCGUAUCGGUUUCGUGUAAGUGUAUUUAUACGAUCUUUGUAUGUUGUUUCGUAUAACCCUUAUUGGUUUACAGUCGCUAGCUUAAAACUAACACUAUGUUGCUUUUUGUCCAAUCACUAU